CCUACGGGUGGCAGCAGUGAGGAAUAUUGGUCAAUGGACGCAAGCCUGACCCAGCCAUGCCGCGUGCAGGAUGACGGCUCUGUGAGUUGUAAACUACUUUUGUACGGGAGUAAAGGCACAUACGCGUAUCUGUCUGAAAGUAUCGUACGCAUAAGGCUCGGCUAACUCCGUGCCAGCAGCCGCGGGAAUACGGAGGAUUCAAGCGUUAUCCGGAUUUAUUGGGUUUAAAGGGUGCGUAGGCGGUCUGUUAAGUUAGAUGUGAAAUCCUGAGGCUCAACGUCGGAAUUGCCUUUGAUACUGGUAGGCUAGAGAGUAGUUGAGGUAGGCGGAAUGUAUGGUGUAGCGGUGAAAUGCGUAGAGAUCAUACAGAACACCGAUUGCGAAGGCAGCUUACCAAGCCACUUCUGACGUUGAGGCACGAAAGCGUGGGGAGCAAACAGGAUUAGAUACCCUAGUAGUC
rnacentral:rRNA from 1 species